UACGGGGGGGGCAAGCGUUGUUCGGAAUUACUGGGCGUAAAGGGCUCGUAGGUGGCCAACUAAGUCAGACGUGAAAUCCCUCAGCUUAACUGGGGAACUGCGUCUGAUACUGGAUGGCUUGAGAUUGGGAGAGGGAUGCGGAAUUCCAGGUGUAGCGGUGAAAUGCGUAGAUAUCAGGAGGAACACCGGUGGCGAAGGCGGGUCUCUGGGCAGUAACUGACGCUGAGGAGCGAAAGCGUGGGGAGCGAACAGG
rnacentral:rRNA from 1 species